UGGUCGAAAGAUUCCGGUACCCGACACCCAGAUUCCGGCCAAACCACCACCCCAGAACAGCUGCAGUGAAAUUAUAAAAGGAGAGACUGAUGGUCUCAAUGAAGACAACGCCGGGGAGCCUGAUAAGUGCCCUUCUUCAGGACAAUGUAAGGAAGAAAACCAAACCCCAAUGCUAGUGGAUGAAGCAGAAAAAACUUCUAACCCAAAGGAAGACCAGGUAGAGUCUAAUAGUGUAGACCAAGAAAAAGUUUUCAAGAAGCCAGAUAAG
rnacentral:misc_RNA from 1 species